UACGGAGGGUGCGAGCGUUAUUCGGAUUCACUGGGCGUAAAGGGCACGUAGGCGGUUCAAUAAGUCUGAUGUGAAAGCCCUCGACUUAAUCGAGGAAGUGCAUUGGAUACUGUUGAACUAGAGUGUAGGAGGGGAAGAUGGAAUUCCCGGUGUAGAGGUGAAAUUCGUAGAUAUCGGGAGGAACAACAGAGGCGAAGGCGAUCUUCUGGACUAUAACUGACGCUGAGGUGCGAAAGCAUGGGUAGCAAACAGG
rnacentral:rRNA from 1 species